CUCUUAAACCGGCCGUUCUCCUUUUUUCCUUGAGAUGUUUCAGUUGACCUUGUUUGUUGUAUGAAGAUGAGGAAACUUCCAUAGAUCCUUUACUCGUUACUGUCGAUCUGUUCAUUUAUGGUGGGUCUAGCCAACUUCUGUCCUCAGCCGCCUGUCUUGCUGCACGUUCAGGGAGUUAUUCUACCCAAUAGCAAUCAGCUUCUCCUUUGUCUGGGUCUGUUGCCACGAGAUGAGCAACUUUGUUUCCUUCGCGAAGGGUGUGCUGAAAUUCACAGUGAUGAAACGCUUUGGCUCUGUAUUGUGAUUCCCAUAUCAGUGCGCUUAUUUCAGAGUUGUCUGGGUUUGGGGAUGAUAGCUUCUUCAUUACUAUUCGAGAAUCUCCUUCAACUAUUAUUCUCCUGAAUCCCAAUUUAGUCGCUAGUUGUAAAGCAUGAACCACCGCUAUAGCCUCGGCUGUGAAGGCCGAAUUGAUUCUGGAGGCAUCAAUAUUUAUCUUCACCAUGUCCGGAGGAGGGGGCAACCAUUUGGCUUCUAUGGUAUGCAACCUCGUAUUCCUGGCAUUUGCUCCGUAUCAAGGUGUUAUCGAAUAUCCAGCUUAGCCAUUCCUUGAAGCUCCAUUGGGUGCUUUGCGGUGGCCAAAGAACUGUUCCUUGGCUUGAUGUUCAUAUGCGUUCGACUUCUACAGCACAUGAUUCCUCCAUAUGCUAUGCUGCUUCAAAAUUGAAUUGCCAACGUCGUUCUUCUCUUUUUUUCACCCACUGUAUCCAUAAGUAAUGGACAAUGAUCUGAGAAAGCAUGCAUUAAAUGUGAGAGUUUAUGUUGGGGGGGAGGGGAAGAUGGACCACCAUACUGUGUUUGCUACUCCUCUGUCUAGCCUCUCCCUUAUGUUAUUUUCUAUCCUUCGACCAUAUUCCCAUGUGUGCCAUGGUCCAUGAUAGCCUAUAUCAUUCAAUUCACAAUCUUCAAGAGUUUUUCGAAAUUCCUCCAUCUGUCGCUCAUUGCGUUCUAGGCCUCCUUGUUUCUCAAAGGAAUAUAGAAUCUCGUUAAAGUCCCCUAUGACCAGCCAGGGUAGACUUUGAUCCUCGUUUAGUUGCCUCAAUAGAUCCAAUGAAUAUCUCCUGCUUUCCUCUGGUGCUCUGUAAAAACAUGUACAUCGCCAAUUUAUUUUCUCAUCCAAGUCUGUGAUUAACUCAUCAAUGUGUGCCAUUGAGUAUGAUCGAAGGGUAAUGUCAUAUGAUCCCCUCCAUGCUAAACAUAGACCUCUGCUGCUCCCUUAUGAAUCGACUUUUACUCCGUUUGGAA